UACAGAGGGUGCGAGCGUUAAUCGGAAUUACUGGGCGUAAAGCGCACGUAGGUGGCUAUGUAAGUCGGGUGUGAAAUCCCCGGGCUCAACCUGGGAACUGCAUUCGAGACUGCAUGGCUGGAGUACGGAAGAGGAGGGCGGAAUUCCCGGUGUAGCGGUGAAAUGCGUAGAUAUCCGAAGGAACAUCAGUGGCGAAGGCGGCUUCCUGGACCAGAACUGACGAUCAGGCACGAAAGCGUGGGGAGCAAACAGG
rnacentral:rRNA from 1 species